UGACGUCAGUUCCUCUUCCUGUCCACAGUCAGUCAGGAGGAUUUUAUGACGUCGCACAUAAAUAUGGGUCUUUUUCACUCAGGAAGCUGCUGCGCGUCACAGCGGCGAGCGUUCACUCGGCUUCCUGAUUUUGCGAGACCCAACACAC